rnacentral:rRNA from 1 species
GUAAAGCGUCCGCAGCUGGCGAUUCAAGUCUGCUGUCAACGCACGGCGCUUAACUCCGAGAAGGCAGUGGAAACUCGAAUAGCUAGAGUACCGUACGGGAUAGAGGGAAUUACACGGUGUAGCGGUGAAAUGCGUAGAGAUCGGGAAGAACAUCGGUGGCGAAAGCGCUUCUAAUGGACGGCAACUGACACUCAGGGACGAAAGCUAGGGGAGCGAAUGGGAUUAGAUACCCCAGUAGUCCUAGCUGUAAACGAUGGAUACUAGGUGUAGCUUGUAUCGACCUGAGGUGUGCCGAAGCUAACGCGUUAAGUAUCCCGCCUGGGGAGUACGCACGCAAGUGUGAAACUCAAAGGAAUUGACGGGGGCCCGCACAACCGGUGGAGUAUGUGGUCUAAUUCUGAUCGCAACGCCGUAGAACCUUACCAGGGCUUGACAUGUCUAGGAAUCCCGUUGUAAGCUGGGAGUGCUUUGGGGAGCCGGUACUCAGCUGGUGCACUGGUCUGUUCCGUCAGCUCGUCUCGUGAGAUGUUGGGUUAAGUCCUGCAACGAGCGCAACCCUCGUCUUUAGUUG